AAAAGUGACAGAGCUAGCUAGAGAAGUGUUUGUCAGAUGAGACAUCCCGAAAAUCGGUCUUCUCACAAAACCAUAUGUAGCGUCUGAUUUAAAAAAAAAAGAUACCCACAGGACUCACAAGACUCGUCUGAAGGUCGCCAGUACCAGUUUUAAAAAAUUAUCUGCGUUCAGGUGGAUGGAUGUGUCGGCAGCCCCUGGGGGAGUGUGACCUCCCAGAGCACUGCACCGGUACCUCUCCCUACUGCCCUCC